UUGUGUACUAUAGGUUGAAUUACUUGCACUAGGCUAUGUUUAGGAUGAAGGAUGUCUAGUUUCAACAUCUUCGUUUCUUUUGUCCGGAGAACUGAAGGAAUGUUGGUUUAAUUCACCGCUGCAAUUUGAGAUAUGGCUCAUUAAUUUUGGUGCUGAUUAAUGGAAUGUGCUUUAGUUUGAGCUGCAUCUGUCCUUGUUUUUGAAAAGAUUUGAUGUCUUAGUAUGCAAUUUGAGCUUUGUUUUUCAAAUCAGGUUGGUUUAUGAAUUAUUUCCAUUUAUUUUCAUGAAGAUGAGUACUCUCACAUUUGGGUUCCAAAUCUUCUUUACUGCAUAAAACUUCCUAGAAGUAGGGAUGCAAAAUUCCUCACUGAACAGAUGACGAUAUCAGCUAUUCUCCUCCCUGUCGAAUUGUGCGUAUGUAAGUAGCUCUAUAAAUCAUAUUGAAGUUUUUGGAAAAUAUGCAUGAAUGAUAAAGUGGUAGUUUCAUUUUGUAUGCAGCACCUUGGCAAGAUUCUGGUUUCUUAAUAGAACCAAUAGCUCAUGUACACAGAAGAUGAUACAAAAGUCUAGUUUUCCAGUGUUAACUGUUCUGGAACUAUCAUGAUCAAGAUCAUUAUGAAUAACUUUGCUUUCCCUUGUUAAGCUGGUAUUGAGUCUUUGAUUUAAAAUUAAGUCAAGUCUAUUAUGUCCGUCUUGUUAGCUAGCUUCAGCAUUAUCAAUGAUGAUAUGUACAUAAGAGUUGUCUACUCCAUUGUCUUCAUCUUGUACGUUCUGUUAGAUAGUAAUUUGAUGAACCGACAUUCACUUUUCCGAUAUGGUUUCGUUUAAUAUUGAAUAUUUUUGUAUUUGCAAAAAAUCAUAUAUAUGCAGUUUGUGCUGCAUCCUACUCCUUUGAUUCCAAAUCUUCUCUACUUUUUAAAACUCCCUAGACGGACAUAA
rnacentral:lncRNA from 1 species